GCGACUGUAGCUCAGUUGGUAGAGCGGUACCUUGCCAAGGUACAGGUCGACGGUUCGAACCCGUUCAGUCGCUCCA
rnacentral:tRNA from 2 species